GUCUAUGGCCAUACCACCCUGAACACACCUGAUCUCAUCUGAUCUCGGAAGCUAAGUAGGGUUGGGCCUGGUUAGUACUUGGAUGGGAGGCCGCAUGGGAAUACCAGAUACUGUAGACU
rnacentral:rRNA from 1 species